UUAUAAACCUUAAUGCACUGAACAAAACGUCUAGCUAUUGGAGCGCACUCUGCUGACGUCAGCAUAGUUACCAUCGUCAUAGCCAUCAGACACCUUGAUACAAGCUGACGUCGAAGUGUGAGGAAUUCAUUCAUCUUAUUAAAGAUAUUGCUACGAGAGCGCCAUUACACCAGUGAGCAAGAGAUCAAGUCUUGUUAGCAUGAGAGCUCUGGGCUGGACUGUAUUCCUGUGUUUCAGCCUCCUGCUGGCUGUGGUCACGUGUCAGGAUGACGAGGAAGACGACGCAGAUGAAGUCGCGGAAUCCAAUGACGCCGCCGUUGAGCCACAAAGAGAAGCGCGAGCUGUAGGCAACUCCAAGUCAUUCAGGAGUAAAAAUCGCCAACGAGGCGGCAAGAAGAAGAGCGGGAAGACCGGCAGACGUAAAACUGGCGGGGGCGGACGAGGCGGCGGACGUCGUGGUUAGGAAUUAUCACGGUUAUGUCCCUUAUCACUGAAUAUUUAUCUCCACUAUCCUAUUGUUGUUAUUUAUGAACCAAUGCUAAACAUUGUUUCAAUGCUCACGUUAUGGUUUAGAAACUAAUGAUUUUAUUCAUCGACGCUUUUGAAAGAAGCAAAUGUAAAAUAUAGUUCUUUUUUUUAAAGUAUGAUAAGGCUCUGUUCCUGGUCCUGAAAUGUAACAAGCUGUGAAUGUUUGGUCUUAUCAUAAUGUUUAAUAUAGUAAGAGCAUACCUUUGACUCUUAACAGUAUCAAGUGCUGCCUUUUCCCAUUGUUUGAAUGUUGGCAGUGCCAGGGCCGCUGCCCAUUUAUGUAGCACUUGUAAUUCUUGAAGGAAAAUUAAAUUUGCUUGAUUAAAAAAAAAA